UACAGUGGGUGCAAGCGUUAAUCGGAAUUACUGGGCGUAAAGCGCGCGUAGGUGGUUCGUUAAGUUGGAUGUGAAAUCCCCGGGCUCAACCUGGGAACUGCAUCCAAAACUGGCGAGCUAGAGUAUGGUAGAGGGUGGUGGAAUUUCCCGGUGUAGCGGUGAAAUGCGCAGAUAUCGGGAGGAACACCAGUGGCGAAGGCGGCGAUCUGGGAAGAUACUGACGCUGAGGUGCGAAAGCGUGGGGAGCAAACAGG
rnacentral:rRNA from 1 species